rnacentral:rRNA from 1 species
UACGUAGGGGGCGAGCGUUGUCCGGAUUUACUGGGCGUAAAGCGCGUGUAGGCGGCUACGCAGGUCCGUUGUGAAAACUGGAGGCUCAACCUCCAGACGUCGACGGAAACCGUGUGGCUAGAGUCCGGAAGAGGAGAGUGGAAUUCCUGGUGUAGCGGUGAAAUGCGCAGAUAUCAGGAAGAACACCAAUGGCGAAGGCAGCUCUCUGGGACGGUACUGACGCUGAGACGCGAAAGCGUGGGGAGCGAACAGG